AUUGAACGCUGGCGGCAGGCCUAACACAUGCAAGUCGAGCGGAUGAAGGGAGCUUGCUCCUGGAUUCAGCGGCGGACGGGUGAGUAAUGCCUAGGAAUCUGCCUGGUAGUGGGGGAUAACGUCCGGAAACGGGCGCUAAUACCGCAUACGUCCUGAGGGAGAAAGUGGGGGAUCUUCGGACCUCACGCUAUCAGAUGAGCCUAGGUCGGAUUAGCUAGUUGGUGGGGUAAAGGCCUACCAAGGCGACGAUCCGUAACUGGUCUGAGAGGAUGAUCAGUCACACUGGAACUGAGCCACGGUCCAGACUCCUACGGGAGGCAGCAGUGGGGAAUAUUGGACCAUGGGCGAAAGCCUGAUCCAGCCAUGCCGCGUGUGUGAAGAAGGUCUUCGGAUUGUAAAGCACUUUAAGUUGGGAGGAAGGGCAGUAAGUUAAUACCUUGCUGUUUUGACGUUACCAACAGAAUAAGCACCGGCUAACUUCGUG
rnacentral:rRNA from 1 species